rnacentral:tRNA from 1 species
GGUGGCUCAGUGGUAGAGCACUUGCCUUAAAUGCAUGAAACCCUGGGGUCGAUUCCUCAGCACCA